GAAGAAUUAGUUAAUCUAAAUAACAUUAAAUUGUCAAUUUAAAGUAAUUUAAUUUUAAAAGAAUAUUCUUUU
rnacentral:tRNA from 1 species